GAUUAACGCUGGCGGCGUGCCUAACACAUGCAAGUCGAACGAUGAAACUCAUUAGAUUUCUUCGGAAUGAAAAUGAAUGGAUUAGUGGCGAACGGGUGAGUAACGCGUGAGUAACCUGCCUUACACAAGGGGAUAGCCUCUGGAAACGGAGAAUAAUACCCUAUGAAACCAGACAAUCGCAUGAUAAUCUGGUCAAAAUGUUUAGUGGUGUAAGAUGGACUUGCGUCUGAUUAGCUAGUUGGUGAGAUAAAAGCUCACCAAGGCAACGAUCAGUAGCCGGCUUGAGAGAGUGUACGGCCACAUUGGGACUGAGACACGGCCCAGACUCCUACGGGAGGCAGCAGUGGGGAAUUUUGCACAAGGGGGGAAACCCUGAGGCAGCGACGCCGCGUGAUUUAGAAGGCCUUCGGGUUGUAAAAAUCUUUUGUAUAGGAAGAAAAUGACAGUACUAUACGAAUAAGGUCCGGCUAAUUACGUG
rnacentral:rRNA from 1 species